rnacentral:rRNA from 1 species
GACGAACGCUGGCGGCGUGCUUAACACAUGCAAGUCGAGCGGUAAGGCCCUUUCGGGGGUACACGAGCGGCGGACGGGUGAGUAACACGUGGGUAACCUGCCCGGAAGUGGGGAAUACCGUCGGGGAAACUCGAGCUAAUACCGCAUGACAUCUUUGGGACGAAAGUCCCGACGAUCAAAGGCGGGGUCGCAAGAUCUCGCGCUACCGGAUGGGCCCGCGCCCGAUUAGCUAGUUGGUGAGGUAACGGCNCACCAAGGCUUCGAUCGGUAACCGGCCUGAGAGGGCGAUCGGUCACACCGGAACUGAGACACGGUCCGGACUCCUACGGGAGGCAGCAGGUGGGGAAUCUUGCGCAAGU